AGGAGAGCCGAGCCGAACCGUGGAUCGCAAUCCUACGGUCACGGUCUUGCCACGUCUACCAGACACCUCGAAGCGACGCGACAAAGCGGAGAGAGCACCACCGUGGGUCGCCGCCGGCUCCGUUCGCCCAAUAGCACACGAUGCUCCGCCGCCUCGCUCCGUCGCUCCGCCGAGCGGCCGCCUCCUCCGCCGUCCAGCGCGGCGGCGGCGGCGCGCGCCUCCCGGACCCUGGCCUCUCGNNNNNNNNNNNNNNNNNNNNNNNNNNNNNNNNNNNNNNNNNNNNNNNNNNNNNNNNNNNNNNNNNNNNNNNNNNNNNNNNNNNNNNNNNNNNNNNNNNNNGUGAUCCAGUUAUCAAGCAACAACACCUUGUUCAUAAUCAGAAGACACUGACUAUGUUUGAUCAACUGGCUAGCCAACUAGAGGCUUGCUAGGGAUGGUGCUUUGUCUAUGUAUCCACACAUGUAAAUGAGUCUUCAUUCAAUACAAUUAUAGCAUGGAUAAUAAACGAUUAUCUUGAUACAGGAAUUAUAAUAAUAACUAUAUUUAUUAUUGCCUCUAGGGCAUAAUUCCAACAAAUCCCUAGGACGCCACCCCUCCCCCUCCCUCCUAUAUAUAGUGGAGGGUAGAGAGGCUUUUGCACCCAAGCCACGGUGCAACCCUCUCUCCCUCUACUUCGUAACACCCCGUAGGUUAUUCCGAUACGACACGGAGGAGCCCUGUCGGAGUAACUCCACCACCAUCGCCGUCACGCCGUCGUGCUGCUGGAGAAUUCAGAUGCCUCUCCCUCUCUCUUGCUGGAUCAAGAAGGUGGAUAUCGUCAUCGAGAUGUACGUAUGCUGAAUGCGGAGGUGUCGUCCGUUCAUUGCUAGAUCGGCGCGGAGUUCGUGGGACGGAUUGUGAUUUGGAUCGCGAAGACGUUCGACUACAUCAACCGCGUUUCGUAAUGCUUCCCGCUUAGCGAUCUAUAAGGGUAUGUGGAUCCAAUCUCUCCUCUCGUAGAUGGUCAUCACCACAGAUAGAUUUUAUGUAUACGUAGGAAAUUUUUUGUUCCCAUGCAAUGUUUCCCAACAAUUCGUGCCUCUCGCGACAGCAAAACCGUGUCUCUCGCGAAAGAAAAAAAAACAAAAAACAUAUUUUUUCCGUUUCUGAGAAAGACGACCGUGCCUCUCGCGAAAGCAAAUCCAUGGCUCUCGCGUAAAGAAAACCGUGCCUCUCGCGAAAGCAAAUCCAUGCCCCUUGUGAAAACAAAAUCGUGCCUCUCAGGAAAAAACAAAAAAAACACAUUUUUCUGUUUCUGAGAGGCAUGACCACAAAAGAAACAGUGCCUUUCGAGGAAGUAAAAUUGUGCCUCUCGUGAAAAAAAUACAGAAAACACAUUGUUUUUUUUUUAGUUUCUAAGAGGCACGGCUGGGCCUCUCGCUAAAGCAAGUCCAUGCCUCCCGCAGAAGCAAAAUCGUGCCUCUCACGAAAGCAAAUCUGUGUCUCUCAUGCAAGAAAAACCUUUCAUUUCUGGAAAGGAAAAAAAUGCGAACCAUGGUAACGCGGAACACCGAAAACCGCCCAAAAAAACUCACCUAAAAAACCACAAACGCGUGCAAAAAGAAAAACGAAGUCAGAGGAAACGCUCAGAACGCGACGUGACGAUGGUUGAGAAUGCGCCAAGUAACGACACGUGGGAUUGAUUGUUGGAAGGCUCCUGAAGGAGCACUCGUCAACUAGUUGCUCUCGUUCUUUUGGGGUUACAACCAAAAUCACAAUUAAAUAAAUCUCGUUAUCUACGAUCUCUGUAUCCAAACAAACUCUAAAGAUGCAACCUGUCAUAAUUACAUAAUUUAUUUAUUUUUACGUUCCAACUCUUACAAAUUAUCACAUAAAAUUUGUGUUAUUUAAUUUUCUAUUGGAUAAUUAUUGCAUGGGUUGCUGACAAGUAAGCCGAGUCGGAGAUAAAGACAUUUACUUAAGUAACACAAAUGCCACUAGCAUAGCAACAACAUGUUUUAUGUGAUCAAACACCGUAAAAAGUAUGUUUCAUGACUUGGAUUUUCGUACUGCUGUCCAGACUGUACCCUGGAAGGUCAAGCCACAGAAAAAUACAGUUGGGGAAGUGGAUACUGUGAAUAAAUGAAGACUGGUAAUGGAAAAGCAAACACGCAUGGUGGUCACAUGCAAAAAAAAAAACGCAUGCACAUGAAAAAAAAAACUUCUUUCCACAAUAUUGCAUACAUAAAUUCAACCGCAGGUUGAAGUUCUUAGCAGAGCUUGCUUGCUGAAGGAGCUGCUUAUCUUGGAAGAGUGAAAAGUCGUCACUCAUCCAUCACCAUGGCAGCCCGGCCGGGCCCUUUGACAGAAUGGCCAUGGCAUUGGUUGGGCAGCUUCAAGGUAUGUUAUAUUCUGUCUGAAGUCACAUGAUACUGUUUGUCUCUCUGAUAUUAGUUGUGAGAAUCUAUUUAAAUUCACAAAUUGAGGAACAUCCUCUCAUCGAGUGACCAAAAAGUAAAGGGAACUAACUACUUCUUCACUGAUAUUAAUCUCAACAACAACAAAAUACUUCAAUGGUCCCUCCCUAUUCCUUGGCGGCUAGGACAAAUUCUACCUUCCAGGCUUCGCCGGUGUCCGUUGAUUUGCCUCCCCUCCGCCUGCUGCUUCGAGUUGUAGUAUAUGUUAGAUUUUUUUUGGUCUUCAGAGGUGCGGUGUUCAGACGGAUGGCGGUGCUUUUUUUUCCGAUAAAUGGAGUUUUUUGACUAUCAAGAGCACAUUCUGACCACUGCAUAGGUAAGAUGCACGCAGCUGAACUAACUCACGCACACAAAUAAACACAUCGACAAAUAGCAAAAUCAUAUAGUACCAAAGCUAUGUCUAAGCGAGGAAAAAGAAGAAGACAUCGAGCGAUCAACAAUGACCGACAAACUGCAACAACGACCAUAUACACACCAACUAUCCCUUGACACUACAAGAACAACAAGAUUCUUCAAAAACAACGUCUUCAGAAAGGAAACGGCUUUCAGGCGUUGCCGUCACCGGAUCCAAUCAGCAAAGGACAGAACCUAGGUUUUAACCUGAACAAUAAGUAUGUCUGAACAUAUAUAUCGGUGCAAUGCCUUCAACAAGAUGACAACGUAGAGCAUUCGUCAUUGACAUGUAUAACAACCCGGGUCAAACCAAGGGUUUUUCACCCUGGAGGUCGACACUGGGUACUCGAGAAGUACCACCAAAUCGAAGUCAUCUAUGUGAUAUCUCCGUCUAUUUGCCUCAUGCAUGGAGAAAAAAAAUCGCACGGAAAAAGUCUAGGUUAAUGAAUAUGUUUGGUUCUAAGCUAUUCAAUUUUUAUAAACAAAUUCCCAAGGAGCAGAAAGAAAUGUGAAUUGCAAUUCAAAUGUCAAUGACCAAAUCUUACUACUAUACGAGUGGAUCUAUGCAAGACCUUGUUUGACGACUUAUCUGUAAUCCCUAAUUAUUUAGGUUUGAAAGUUUCUGCAGCUCUAGGUCUGUAGUUCUAAUUUUGAAAGAUAAGCCCUGUAUGAAAGACGAGGAAUAAUCUGACCAUUUUCCCUUGUUGGUUGCCCCAUCAUGCUGGCUGUGCGAUAGGUCGGCCACGCGUCCAAGGAUUGCUUUGACCCCGCAAGAUAUUCUUGAUUUAGGUUAAUAGCUCGAUGCACAGGGCUAGAUCAAAACUGCCCUGGACGUCUGCGGCGGUUCGGUCCUCGGUGAGGCAUAGAAAAGGUGGAACACGAUCUGACUGCGUUUCUACGAGGUUUUGAGGCCAUGUAUAUAUGGGAUUGGAGUUUAGCUGGGCUUUACGUGAUUAGGGGGGCAAAAUUAGACAUUCAGUCGAUGUUUCGGCAGACUGCCUAGCACUGUAAGAGGAAAAACCUGAUCGUUAGGGGGGUGUAGCCCCCUCAUCCCCCUUUGAUAGUUGAUACGUCCCUGCACUACACAAUCAUAUCCUGUACGUCAAGCCGUCGUUCAUAGAUUGCAUCCUAUCUUUAAAUGCAAAAUGUUCGGAUUGAGAGCCACCAAAACUCAAAGGAGUCUUCCGAGUGCGUCUCACAACAUGUCUCUAGACGCGAACAGCAGUCACCGAAUCAGGAGUGAGGUACCGUCGCGAAGACCUUUCGAUUGUUGACGCAAUCGACAAUGAUGAUACUGUCCCUGGCAGGCGAGCAACACUAUAAGCCGACUGCACUGAGCCGCAGAGGGCCAGACGUGUCGCCUCGCUGUAUCAUGGGUCGGACCCCGAAAUUCAGUCCAGAUCCAGCCGGGUGGGCACGGUAGAUCCGUGCAGUAUUUCUGUCCACCGCAGCUGGCGCAGCAUUGAUACGCGUUGUAUUGUUUGGAUGGCGUUGCAUUGCCAGUCCUUUGAGAUGAUCUGAGCGGACCGGACCAGACCGCUGUUGGGUGUACCCUAGCUAGCUCGCUCUUUUUCUCUCUGUUCACGGACAAAAGUGGAAGACGGAGGCAAUGGAAACAACAGAUUUUUUCACGGCGCACGAACACCGUCACAGGCGCACCAACGCCCUACUUUCUUUUUAUCUAUGCUGGCUCAGCUUACAUCAACAACUACAAGGCCUUUUAUAGCCACACAGCAACGCAACGUCCAAGCAACUCCUCCAGCCGAUCUCUAUGUGCAUCUACACAUGUAGCUUGAUCCGUACGUCCCGAUCGCACGGACGACGUGUUCCAACGGCAUAACCUCCAACUUGCAUGCAGCUAAGUCGGUUCAACACGCUCCUAUGAUCCCCUCACCCAGGCUGCGCACACGACGCGCUCCUACGCGCACAACGCGGCCGGCGUCCAACGGAUCACAAACAACCUCCAGCUCAACCUGUACCUACACGAUGGCCAACGCUAGAACAGACUCACGCGUCACCAAGUCACACAUGUGAUGACCGAACAAGACGUGGUUUAUUUUCCUAUCAUUCUCCCCCUAAACCACGACCUCACCGUCGCCAGAGUUGUUGCAGCUCCCGUCAUUGUCGUCGCCAGGGCCGUAACCCAGCCUGCGGACCCGACGUGCCCGACACGCCCGGCGCGCGCCAUACACGCGCCCGACGAGUCCGACCCGUCGCGGCGGCUUAUUCUUCAUUCACCCCUCUAAGCCGUGGCUCAGAAGAGCCCAACGUUCUCAACGUCGACGUCCGCCAGCAGCGCUUGCUCCCCCGCCGGCUCCUUCCUCCGCUGAGGGCAGUCCCUCUUGAAGUGGCCGCGCUCGUUGCAGUUGUAGCAGCGCCCGCGUCGGUUCCCACGGCUGCUCGACGCCACGCUCUUGCCGUCGUUGUCAUCGUCCCGCGCACCGCCUCGCCGACGCUCCCGCGCUCGCCACUGCUCCGCCGUGAGCAUGAGAUGGCCGCCCGCCCGCUCGCCGCCCGCUUGUCCACGUCGUCGUAGCCGCUCGUCGAAGGCCUUCAGACGACCCAACGCCUCCUCGAAUGCCAUGGUGGGGACAUCACAGAACUGCUCGAUUCCGGCCACCGCCGCGUACAGAUGGUCCGGCACGGAGUCGAGUAGUUUCUUCAGCAAUGCGUCGUCUUCCAGCGUCGAUCCGAGCCCCGCGAAGCGUGCCGCCAUGCCACCGAGCUUCCCAGCAAACGAGUCUAGUGUUUCGUCCUCCGCCAUGCGCAGCAGCUCGAACUCUCCUCGGAGAGUGCCCAGCCGCGCCGCCCGGACUCGGUCCGCCCCGACGAACCUCGCCUUGAGGCUCGCCCACACCUCUGCCGCCGUCUUCUUGGACGCAACCUGCAAGAGAAGAUCCUCAGAGAGCGCGCGGAACAGGUACGCCCGCGCCGGCUUGUCCUUCUUGGCGAUCACGGCCGCCGCUCCGUCCUCCAACGGCUCCACCGCCUCCCAAAGCCCGGCGGCGUCCAGGUCCGCCUCCACCUUGAUUGCCCACAUGGUGUAGUUAUCACCAGUGAGCAUCGGGACCGGCGUUGACAUCAUGCUCCGCGACCCGCCGGCGUAUGGGACGAGCGCCAUCUCCGACGAACUUCUCCCUCAACGUGGCUCCGAUACCAAAUGUUGGGUGUACCCUAGCUAGCUCGCUCUCUUUCUCUCCGCUCACGGACAAAGGUGGAAGACGGAGGCAAUGGAAACAACAAAUUUUUUCACGACGCAUGAACACCGUCACAGGCGCACCAACGCCCUACUUUCUUUUUAUCUGUGCUGGCUCAGCUUACAUCAACGACUACAAGGCCUUUUAUAGCCACACAGCAACGCAGCGCCCAAGCAACUCCUCCAGCCGAUCUCUACGUGCAUCUACACCUGUAGCUUGACCCGUACGUCCCGAUCGCGCGGACGACGUGCUCCAAUGGCAUAACCUCCAACUUGCAUGCAGCUAAGUCGGUUCAACACGCUCCUGUGAUCCCCUCACCCAGGCUGCGCACACGACGGCGCUCCUACGCGCACAACGCGGCCGGCGUCCAGCGGAUCACAAACAGCCUCCAACUCAACCUGUACCUACACGAUGAACGCCAACGCUAGAACAGACUCACGCAUCACCAAGUCACACAUGUGAUGACCAAACACGACGUGGUUUAUUUUCCUAUCAACCGCGCCGGCAACCAUCAGGAGAUGGUGGCCAACGUGCAUGGAUACGAGCCUUCGCUAUAGAUGACGCUUGCAGACCAGGACGUACAAUCAAAUCAAUCAUGGAUCAGAUCCUUAGAGAAAAAGGUGGACGACAUGGGAGAAGAGCCACCGCCACCAUCGGCCGCCCAGGGCCUUCCCGGACGCACCGAGUAGCCCGGCGAGGAUGGGACCAAGGGAGGGACGGACAAAUGUGCUGGCGGCAGGGAUGGAACGCCCCCGGGUCGCCCUAGUGAACGACACGGGGACCGUUUCCUUCUGAUCCGAAAAUGAAUGGGGCGCCUCUUCUUUGAGUUUGCCUUUCGAGCUGCGAUCCUCUUCGAUUUCGUUCGAUGUAAUAGACGGAGCUCUGAUAUAGAUUCAUGUCGUCUAGUUGGGGCGAUGAAGUUUGGCUUUCUCGGCUUGUUGUGAGAUUUAAUGUAAUAAUGUUAGGUGUUUCAGAUAUAUUCAAGGGUUCGACAUAAAAAAUUUCACCAAGUGACUAUCACAACACGAAGUCAUGAAGUCGCCGAUGAAGGAACUUAACGUGCCGUAGCCUGCACCGUAUCGAACAUCUGUCCUAGACGCUCCUGAUCCCUCUGUCUAUCCAGGGUGUGCAAGUAUUGCAUCAAUACAAGAAACUUUGGAAAACGAAUCAGUGACACGACGUAAGAAGACCCUUCCGAUCACCACCUUAUUACGUUCGUCCAACGGAUCCAUAAUAGGACGACAAACAUCAUCCAAAAAUGAUGUCUUUGCCUUCUAGUUUAUAGCGCUCUGGCCUGAAGGAAGCUGACAAGAUCUGACACUUUUCACUGAGGUCCGAGGGCCUCCCGGACAAAGCCCUAGAGUGACCUAGCUGUCGUGCAGGAAAAGAGGAUGCGAGUAACCUUCUCCAGGACUUCACACAAGGGACGCAAUCCAUGAAACCACAACAACUUCCAAACGAUCACAAAUCUAUGUACCACAUGCUAUACGCCGCACAUCCAUCAACUUCAUAUGAUAUUCUAACCAUGCACCGCACAUAUGUAGUACCUGGUCUUGGCGCCUGCGGCGUUGCACACUGCGCACAGUGUGGUCACCAAGGGGUGGGGAGACAUGAACCUAGUAUACGCCGCCAUGUUACCAGCAAUGCUUCUGAGGAUGUUCCACAACCAGAUCUGGAUCAGCUUGUCUCGCCACCAGACUGCACGGAGGAAGCACAUCAUUGUAGACCGCGGCCUUGAAUUCGAUCAGGUCGACCGGGAGAGAUCCUGGUAAGUGCUAUAUAUUCACAGCCUGCUAUUCACUUCUAUCACACUCAAAUUACCUGAAAUCUAAAAGAUGCUAUGUUGCGUGUAAUGCUAAUGAGUUACCCUUACCAUUCUACACAGGGAUGACCAGGCCAUCCUUGCUACGCUGUUUUUCUACUUGGCCUAUGCGGCCAUCCCGAGUGUCAGACUCAUGCCAAUGUGGGAAACAAAGGGAGCUAUCAUCAUGGCGUUGCUUCACGUAGGGCCUAUUGAGUUUAUCUACUACUGGUUCCACAGGGCGCUGCACCACCAUUUCCUCUACUCCCGCUACCACUCACACCACCAUGCCUCCAUCGUCACAGAGCCUAUAACAGGUAUGUAACGUCAUUCAGAGAUGAGAGGGUCAAUAACAACGAUGCAUAACGCCACCAACUUAUUCACAAACAAGGAUUGCACACAAAAAAAGUCGCUUCAUUACUAGUGGCAAUAAGUUCACAAGUAUCUAGAUUAUACUUGAUUCGGGUAACCAAUCAUUGUGCUAAGUUCACAAGUGUCUAGAAUAUACUAGACGAUACCGCACACGUUAAUGUGGAAUCAGAGAUUUAAUUUCUAAAUAAUGUACACAAUGUAGAUUAACUUUGAGACUUAAACUAUGCUAAGAAGAAACAAAAAAAAAGCAAAAAAAGAAAGGAAAAGAAAGAGUCAAACUAUGUCAUGAAUGAAAUGCAGCGGCACUAAAAAUCCAUGAUAUAUGCAUGUUGCAUGGUACAGAGACUCUUAUGCUCAAAUUGGACGGAUGUUAGUUUACCAGGUUAGCAAAUCCAGUGGCUAACACAAUUUGGAUGAUGUGGAAGCACACAUGUGCACAAAAAUAGCAGGUAAUGACUUGUAGUGCAGUUUGUCUGUAUAAGAUAUAUGGAUAUUGCAACCAAUUUGUGUUCUUUUUUUAGGGGACCAACCAAUUUGUGUUCUAAAACUGCCAAAAACCACUAGAUAUUUUGUACGGAAAUGCUAAAAAUCUGAUGUCAGAUUUUUAAGAUUGGCAAAUAAAACGUUUUUAUGGCAAAUUACCGUGUUCUGUUUUAUGGCAAAGGAAAUGUUAAAAUCUGAUGUUAUGGAAAAUCUGAUGUCAUAUAGAUUUUUAAGCGUAGCAAUUCCCUUCGGUGAGCAUGACAAAUCCUGGGGGAAAACUGAAUAUGCCAGGAGUUGCCAUGCUUGCUGAAGGAAAUUGCCAGGCUCGCGUCACGUAAUUUGACAUAAAAAAUAUUCAAUUUUGUAUGUUUAAAAAUCUGAUAUUAGACCUUUUUAAGAUAAUAACCACUAGAUAUAAAUGACAUCUGAAAGCAUCUGCACAUGCAUCAAUGUCUCGUAGGUUAGAGUUACAAUAUCCAUCCUGAUCCAGGAGUAUAAUAAGAAAUUAUAGAAGAAUCAGGACAACAUUCAGAGACGAAAAAAACUAUAAUCUGGUUCAGAUUUGUCUACAUGUUGUAUUGCUUAACAAAUCUCUAAGUGAUUGCUACAUUAACAAUUAGUGUUCCGUUUUGCAUAAAGCAUAUUGAUUUGGUUUUUAUGAAGCUUUAAACCUAAAGAAAUUUUACCAUAUGAUUGGCAGCUGUCGUCCAUCCAUUUGCUGAAACCUUGGCUUACUUUCUGUUAUUUUCGAUCCCCAUGCUGAUACCAAUUUGUAUGGGAUAUGGUUCGGUGCUCGGUGUUGUCCUAUACCUGGCUUACAACGACUUCAUAAAUAAUAUGGGACACUGCAAUUUUGAGAUGCUCCCAAAGUGGAUCUUCCAACGGUUCCCUCCUCUCAAGUAUCUCAUGUACACUCCAUCGUAAGGAUAACAUUUUGAGCUCAACCUUACAAUCAUGUUAGUGAUCAGACUUUAGGUCCAUUAUGUUCUUACUCAAAUAUUACCAUUGGAUACUGCAAACAUUAACAAAAAGUUGAAAUGGCUAGUCAUAGCUUAAUAAAACCACAAACCUAAUUAUUCAAAGGUAUUUUCCAUUUUCUCCAUAGGUAUCAUUCUCUCCAUCAUACACAGUUUGGUACAAACUACUCAUUGGCUAUGCCAAUCUAUGACUACAUAUUCAACACCAUGGACAAGUCAACCGACGAGCUAUAUGAGAGAACACUGAUUGGAACAGAGGAAACACCCGAUGUUGUUCACUUGACGCAUAUGACCACCUUGCAAUCGAUUUAUCAUCUAAGGGUUGGGAUCGCCUCUGUAGCCUCUCGGCCCUCAGAUAACCAUGUAUGGUAUAUGUGGAUGAUAUGGCCAAUGGCAUGGCUAUCAAUGGUACUAGCAUGGGUUUAUGGAUCAUCUGCGUUUGUCGUCGAAAGUCUCAAGCUGAAGAAGAUCAAGAUGCAAACAUGGGUGAUACCAAGAUACAACUUCCAAGUAAUGGAUUUUCCAUGUUGCAUGAAUCAUAUACCUUCAUAGUGUUGCAAACUGAUAGGAUUUUCUCCAUAUACAGUAUGGCCUGAUUAGGGAGAGGGAACCCAUCAACAGGUUAAUUGAGCAGGCAAUAUCAGAAGCGGAUGAAAGAGGGGUCAAAGUGCUCAGCCUUGGACUCUUAAAUCAGGCAUGUUGUCAAAACUUUUCUUGCCUAACCACCAUCGUCUUCAAUUUGAGUGAGAUUUUGAUGAAAUUCUCUGAAUAAUAAUAAUUUUCGUAGACACAGAAAUCUUUACCUUUCGAUAAAAAUAUUUCAGUUAUUUCACUUAUACACAAGAAUACAAAUAUUUUCCAAACAAUUUUUUUUAAUUUCGAUUGAACGUCUCGGUCCUUUGGCUGGAAUGCAAACCGAUAUCACUGAAAUUCGGUAAUCCUCAUAGGUGUUGGAAUAUUUCUGUAAGUACAAUUUAAAACCACAUGCUAAUCUCGCUCUUCAUACUUUGUUCCACGUGACACCUAGCUUUUGAACGGGUCACAAAACAUUUAGAAAUGUUGGCAAAAAACUAUGUAAAGACAACCUUUUGAUUACUCAGGACAGUUUGUGGAACUAAUACGGUUUUUGUAGAAGUAAUACGGUCAAGUUCGGUGAUGGUUCAGCUGUGGAGAUUUGCGGGCAAGGAUCUGUCCUCUUUGAGGGUCUCACAGGCGAACAUCGCAUACUCACCGGAGUGUACUACAUCCCACGGCUGCGCAACAACAUCAUCUCUAUUGGGAAGCUUGACGAGAAUGGAUGCAAGGUGAAUAUAGAGAGCGGAGUGAUGACGAUCUUCGACAACCUCCGAAACGUGCUAGCUCGUGUUAAUCGCACACGGAAUAGGCUCUAUAUCCUCAACCUUCAUCAAUCUCAACCGGAGUGUUGGCUUGCCAAGAGUGAUGAUGAUUCGUGGUUAUGGCAUGCUAGAUUUGGACACGUUAACUUCUACGCCUUGAAGAAGAUGUCAAAGAUGCAGAUGGUAUCCGGGAUGCCAGUUAUCGACCAUGUUGAUCGAGUAUGUGACGGGUGCUUGGUUGGAAAAAAAGCACCGCAGGCCAUUCCCUGCUCAGUCUACCUAUCGUGCAAGUGAUGCACUCGAGCUGCUCCAUGGUGAUCUAUGUGGCCCUAUCACCCCGGCAACUCACGCUGGAAAGAAGUAUUUCUUCCUUGUGGUAGACGACUACUCGAGAUAUAUGUGGGUCAUUCUCCUACGAUCUAAAGAUGAGGCGUUUGAAGCGUUCAAGAAAUUGAAGGCUGCAACAGAGAUGGAACACAAGCUGAAGGUUCGCGCUCUACGGACAGAUCGCGGCGGAGAGUUUACGUCGAAUGAGUUCAACGACUACUGCGAGAAGAUUGGCAUAAAGAGGUUCCUCACGGCACCUUACACGCCGCAACAGAAUGGGGUCGUUGAAAGGCGCAAUCGAACCGUUGUUGACAUGGCAAGGAGUUUACUCAAGAGCAAGAACCUGCCAGGGACUUUUUGGGGAGAAGCUGUCUCGACGGCGGUCUAUCUUCUCAACCGGGCUCCAACGAAGGCGGUGAUCGGCAAGACUCUGUAUGAAGCAAUUUACGGACGUAAGCCGAAUGUGUCUCAUCUACGGACAUUCGGGUGCGUGGCACAUGUGAAUACGGCGGAGCCGCACCUCUCAAAGCUUGCCGAUCGUAGCACCAAGAUGGUGUUCAUCGGAUACGAGAGCAGUUCUGGCACCAAGGCAUACCAUUUCUACGAUCCACAAACCAAGCGUCUACGGAUUUCACGCGACGUCGUGUUUGAAGAAAACCAAGCGUGGAAUUGGAGCGCCGCAGCCGACGAUGCUCCAAACAGUAACAUAUUUGCAGUUGAAUUUCCAACUGAUGAUGAUGCAGGGGAGGAUGUCCAGGUGAUUGGCAAGACACCCAACCAAGGUGACCACAAUGGUAGUGAUCAUCAUGGUGCCGACACCGACGACGACGCGCAUAGGUCGCGAGGAGAUAGCGACAACGCCGCGCACGACACAGGCGGAGAUCUCGACGACAACAUCGACAACGAGGCGCAUAGUGACGAUGACAAUCAAGAUGAUGGUCACGGUCACGACGACUACGCCGACGACACGGAUGUCGAUGACACACCAAGGUCUCAGCCGUCUUCCUCAAGUGCAUCAACAUCGACACAAUUUGUGUCGCCUCCUUCGCAAGCCACAAUGGACUCCUCAGGGCCUCGUCGCUACAAGACCCUCAAGAAAGUCUACAAGUACACAAAGCCAGUUACGCUCGAGUACUCCGGACUAUGUCUGUUCGGAGUUGAGGAGCCGGCGAACUUCGUAGAGGCGAGCAAAAGUUCUAGCUGGACGCACGCCAUGGAUGAGGAGAUGAAGGCAAUUGAGAGCAAUGGCACGUGGACUUUGGUAACCCGACCUCCAAACCAAAAGACGAUAGGUUUGAAGUGGGUUUACAAGUUAAAGAAGGACACGGAGGGUGCCAUUGUGAAGUACAAGGCAAGACUCGUUGCAAAGGGCUACGUACAACGUCAAGGAGUUGACUAUGAUGAGGUGUUUGCACCGGUUGCUCGAAUCGAGACGGUGAGAGUGCUCCUAGCUUUGGCAGCACAAGAGGAUUGGAAGGUUCAUCAUAUGGAUGUUAAAUCCGCUUUCCUCAACGGUGAUCUCACAGAAGAAGUGUACGUGGAACAACCCCUCGGCUACGAGAAGAAAGGCGAAGAAGGGAAAGUUUACAAGCUCAAGAAGGCACUUUACGGGUUAAAGCAAGCGCCAAGAGCUUGGAACUCAAAGUUAGACCGAAGUCUGGUCUCGCUCGGGUUCAAGAGAUGUCCCCUCGAGCACGCAGUCUAUACAAAGAACUCCAAAGGCUCAAACCUGCUAGUUGGAGUUUAUGUCGACGAUCUGAUUAUCACCGGAGAUAGCGUACAAGAAAUUGAACGUUUCAAGGCGCAAAUGAAGAACAAGUUUAGCAUGAGUGAUCUGGGAUUACUCAGCUAUUACUUGGGCAUCGAAGUGAAGCAAAGCUCCGGAGAGAUUUCCCUAUGUCAAUCGGCUUACGCGGUCAAGUUAUUGGACAAGUGUGGCAUGUCGGAUUGCUACGCGACACAAGUUCCAAUGGACCAACGUCACAAGUUGAGCAAGCGUAGCUCAAAUCCGCCGGUGGACACCACAAUGUAUCGAAGCGUUGUGGGUAGCCUAAGAUACUUGGUGCAUACCCGACCUGACUUGGCUUAUUCAGUCGGGAUCGUGAGUCGUUUCAUGGAGAAACCGACAACCGAACACAUGAGCGCGGUCAAUCAAAUUCUACGCUAUGUGAAAGGCACAAUUAAUUUUGGCUGCACGUACAGAAAGGAAAAGGAAGGAUUGGUCCUUCGUGGAUAUUCAGAUAGUGACAUGGCAGGUGAUGUUGAUGACCGAAAGAGCACAACGGGCAUGGUUUUCUACCUUGGCCCGAAUCCGAUUAGCUGGAAUUCUCAGAAGCAAAAGGUGGUGGCACUGUCUUCAUGCGAGGCAGAAUACAUAGCCGCAAGCACGGCGGCUUGUCAAGCAGUUUGGCUGAGAAGACUCCUAGCUAUUCUUGCAAAGCGGGAGGUGCAAAAGGUGUCAUUGAAGAUUGACAACCAAGCUGCAAUCUCAUUGUGCAAAAAUCCGGUUCAUCACGAAAGGAGCAAGCACAUAGAUACCCGGUUCCACCAUAUCCGGGAGUGCAUUGAAGAAGGGUUGAUCGAGGUUCAACAUGUGAACACGAAAGACCAACUUGCCGAUAUUUUCACCAAGUCCCUCGGUCGACAGAAGUUCAUCGAGAUGAGGAGGAAAGUCGGAGUGCAAGAAGUGAAGUCAAGCAACAAGAUUAAGGAGCUGAAUGUAGAAGUUAAUCAUGUUGUUUCUUUAGGAUUAGGAAAGAAAGCCAAACCGAGUCCUAGUAGUAUUAGGAUUCCUAGUCCUAGUCUAUUUCCAUAGUCCCUUGUGGACGUGUAUAAAAGACACCCUAGGGGUGUUGAUUGUAACACCAGAAAAACGAAAAGCAAUACAAAAGUUUACCAGGCUCGAGACGAGCCUGUAGCAAUACUACAUCGAUCGGUUUCUCAUUGAGUUACGAAUCGCUGCGAUCCGCCGGAUACGUACGAUCGCUAGCUUAGCUAGCUUUGCCAGGAAUCCAUCCAGGUGCUUGCUAGAUUGCUUGCUAGCUUGCACGUACGUUUGUGUAACUCCUGGGUAGUUUUGUUCUACGGUUCAAAACCAACAGUUUUGACUAGACAUUCUAGAAGAGUCAGAUGCACCUUUUGUACACAAAUGGUUAGCGCAAAUAUAUUAACCCUCACAUUCUUGGUCCCAGGAAAAACAACUCAAUGGAAGUGGUGAAUUGUUUACACAGAAAUAUCCAAAAUUAAGAGUUCGACUUGUUGAUGGAAGUGGCUUAGCAACAGCAGUUGUUCUCAAGAGCAUCCCUUUAGAUACAAAGCGUGUUUUUCUCUGUGGAGGCUCUUCUAAGGUAGCACAUGCCACAACUACAGCUUUAUGCGAGAGAGCUGUCCAGGUACCUACAUAUCACCUUCCUACUUUGUUUAUUUCGUUUAGUAUCUUACUUUUUCUAUGAACUGGUCUCAUUUCUUGAGAAGAAUGACUUAUGACUAUAAACAUACACAAUUUUGUGUAGGUAAUCGUGAACCAAAAGAAGGAAUAUGACAUGCUGAAACUGCGGCUUGCAGAGAGCAGCACUACCUACCUAAGAUUCUCCACUGAUGAAAUACCUCGGGUAAAUUACAAGUUAUACAGAAAGAGGAAUGAAAACCCUCAAGAUGCUUUCUAGCUAGGGUGCAGUUAUUGUAAGUGGGGUAUCUGUAAUUAAGUAUAACUACUAGAUAUAUUAGAGAAGACCGUGAAUGCUUAUAAAACAUUUCUACUCCCCCGGUCUUUCUUUCUACGGGAAACAGUAGCAAACAUUAUGGUGUAGUGUCAUCUACCAGCAAAUGACAACAAAUUCGACUAUAAACCUACGUAGUUACCAUAGUAUGAACGAAACAAACACUCUGAUAAGAAAUAUGUUAAAUGAUUACUUCUUCAAUACUACAGGUCUGGAUAGGAGAUAUCAUAGAUGGUAAGCAACAAAUGGGGGCACCAAGAGGAGCAACAUUUAUUCCUACAUCACAGUUUCCCCUUAAGAAGAUACGCAAGGAUUGUACUUACUUGAGUAACCCUGCAAUGAAGAUCCCACAGGCAAUGCAGAACGUCCAUACCUGUGAGGUGCUACCAAUACAUAUGUUCUCAUUGUUGCGAAAAUAGAUGAUCUCAUUGCCUGAUUUUGUAUUUUUUGAGAAAAGUGAAAUAGAACAUUUGACAUAGAUUGCUUCUUACCCAAGAUUAGAGUAGAUAAUCUAAUAGAAACUAACAUGUCUUGCUACUCACUUUAUGAAUAGAAUUGGCUUCCAAGAAGGGUGAUGAGCGCAUGGCGCAUUGCUGGAAUGGUACAUGCACUAGAAGGUUGGGGCAUCCAUGAGUGCGGAGAUGAUAUGAUGGACAUCGAGAAGGUCUGGUCGGCAGCUAUUAAGCACGGAUUCACUCCUCUAUAAAAAAGCUUGAUUCUUAAUAAUCCUCCUAUAUAUGUUACUCAAUAAUAUUCACAUGCAGUGUCAUGGAGUGUCGGAUGAGCUUAUUGGCUUAGUAGCUUCAUGGGCCAGACAUGUAUUUGGAUAGAAAGCCCUAAACACGAUAUCUAUAGCCAACACUAAAGAGCACAUGAAAUGUAUGAAUCACCAACUCAUAGAAACUCAUUAAAGCAUUGGACACAUUAUCAUUGAUAUUCAUAUUCGAAUUGUAAUUGGCCGUGGAAUAAGGUGACUCAAAGAGAGAUCCAACACAAUUUGGGUUUUUACUAUCAGCAUUGGUAUUUCUUCUAGAUUUGGGUACUAAGUACUAACUUUGUCCCCCCACGC
rnacentral:lncRNA from 1 species